AUACGGAGGGUCCGAGCGUUGUCCGGAAUCAUUGGGUUUAAAGGGUCCGUAGGCGGGCAGCUCAGUCAGUGGUGAAAGUUUGCAGCUCAACUGUAAAAUUGCCAUUGAUACUGGUUGUCUUGAAUUAAUGUGAAGUGGUUAGAAUAAGUAGUGUAGCGGUGAAAUGCAUAGAUAUUACUUAGAAUACCAAUUGCGAAGGCAGAUCACUAACAUUAUAUUGACGCUGAUGGACGAAAGCGUGGGGAGCGAACAGGAUUAGAAACCCUAGUAGUCC
rnacentral:rRNA from 1 species